CCCCCCCCCGCUUGUUAGGAUCAAGUCCUUUUGUGCUCCGGGUGUCACCCCAAGCUGCUCCCAGCCUACAAAACCACUAUGGACAAAAACACUAUGGGACAUGAUCAUUUGCCCACUGCCUGCACUGAAGAGCAGGGCACUAAUCCAGCAAAUGCCCCGGAGGCUGCAAAAUACCCCGCUGGGGUGGCCGGCCAAGCCCUCUGUGCCCCGUACGCUGCUGCCGGCUGAGUCACGGCUCAGCGCAGGGCGGAUUUUCAUUCUGGGAGCAGCCUCAAGGUUUCGUGGGGCGCGGGCCUGGCGUGAGUCAGCCGCUGAGGUGGCGGAGGAGGCCGAGAGGAGGCACCGAGAGGCUGCCCUGCUCGCUCGGCUCCCGACACCUCAGCACCACCAGACUCAGGCAGAAGUGAAGAAACCCGCUGCAUGCAGCGGGACCGUGCUUAAUUUAACCUCAGGGCCGAGCCCUGCAAGCCGGGGACCGAGCCCCGAGCCCCGCACCCUCCGUGAGGGGGGCAGCGCCCAGCCGCCACCCCCAGCAUGGCGGCGCCGCGCUCAAGAUGGCGCCGGGCGGCGGCCGCGCCGUCCCCGCGCUCCCGCCUCAAGAUGGCGGCGCGGGGCGGCGGAGGAGUGGCGAGCCGCGGAAGCCGGGUCAUGGCAGCGCCGGAAGAACCGUGCGGCGGCCGGGCCGGCGGCGAGCCAGGCCGGGAGGCGGCGGGUUUGAGCGGUGCCCGGUGCGGCGGGGCCGCCGCCAUGUUCCGCUGUGGAGAGGAGCUUGUAAGUGGGGAAAGUGAGGAGGAAAAUAAUGGUGUCAACCUGAUGGAGUUCUCGGAUGAGAUCCUUUUGCACAUUCUAAGCUACGUCCCUUGCACAGACCUUGUCCUGAAUGUCAGGAAAACCUGCAGGAAACUCGCAACGCUUUGCCUUGACAAGAGUCUAACCCAUACAGUUUUACUUCAGAAAGACUAUAAGGUAAACAAAGACAAAGUGAAGCAACUGAUGAGGGAUAUCGGAAAAGAGAUUUACCAGCUGAACAUGGCUGGGUGCUAUUGGCUGCCCAGCUCCACUAUUGAUCAUGUAAUACGAUGCAAGAACCUGGUAAAACUGAACUUGUCUGGGUGCCACAUCACUUCUCUCCGCCUCUCAAAGAUGCUGUCCGCGCUCCAGCACCUGCGCUCCCUGGCGAUAGAUGUAAACCCGGGUUUCGAUGCCAGUCAGCUAAGCAGUGAGUGUAAAGCCACUCUUAGCCGUGUCUCGGAAUUGAAGCAAACCCUUUACACUCCAUCAUACGGUGUUGUUCCGUGCUGCACUAGCCUUGAGAAACUGCUGCUUUAUUUUGAGAUCCUUGAUCGCUCACGAGAAGGUUUUAUGCUCUCCGGGCAGCUAAUGGUAGGUGAGAGCAACGUGCCCCAUUACCAGAACCUUCGCGUCUUCUAUGCCAGGCUGGCUCCUGGCUACGUUAAUCAGGAGGUGGUGAGGCUGUACUUGGCGGUGCUAAGUGAUCGGACACCUGAGAACCUGCACGCCUUCCUUAUUUCUGCCCCUGGUAGUUUCGCUGAGACCGGAGCCACUAAAAACCUCCUGGACUCCAUGGCUCGAAAUGUACGCCUGGAUGCUUUACAAUUGCCCAAAGCCUGGAUUAACGGCUCAGGGCUCCUGCAACACUUGAAGUUCAACAACCCCUUCUACUUCAGCUUUAGCCGAUGCACCUUAUCUGGUGGUCACCUGAUCCAGAGAGUUAUUAACGGUGGGAAGGAUCUUAAAAGCUUGACCAGUCUGAACCUCAGUGGCUGUGUUCACUGUCUGGCUCCAGAGUCCUUGUUCCGAAAAGCAGAAGACGACAUUGACAGUAGCAUUCUGGAAAGCCUGGUAGUGUCUUGCUGCAACCUGAGACACCUCAACCUCUCCGCAGCUCACCACCACAGCUCAGAAAGCAUAGGGAAUCAUUUGUGCCAGCUUCUGUCCAGGCUAAAGCACCUACUCUCGCUAGCACUACCAGUUUGUUCCAUCACAGACGUUGCUGCAAACAUGGAAAAGCCUCCCACGCAGUCUAAUGCGGCGCCCCAAACGUUUGGAAAGAAAGUCAGGGUGGGCAUACAGACGUACCCGAGGAACUUAACGGACCAGGCAAAUCAGAAGAUAGAGUCUUCGGUGUUCUGGACUCUGAUGGGAAGUCUCCGAUUUUUGGAAACCUUGGAAAUAAUAGGGUCCAGUUUUUCCUCUGCCAUGCCCCGCAACGAGCCAGCCAUUCGGAACUCGUUGCCUCCUUGCGUCCGGGCACAAAGCGUGGGGGAUUCGGAGGUGGCUGCCAUUAGCCAAUUGACUUACUUGCAGAGCCUCACCUUAGCGCAGCUGCCAAAUAUUAUUACUGGUUCUGGGCUCGUUAGCAUCGGAUUGCAGUGCCAGCAUUUGCGGACUCUUUCGUUGGCCAACCUGGGCAUGAUGGGGAAGGUGGUCUAUAUGUCUGCUCUCAUGGACAUGCUGAAACACUGCAAGUGCUUGAGAGAUCUCAGGCUGGAACAGCCCUACUUCAGCGCGGGCGCCCAGUUCUUCCAGGCACUGAGCCACUGCUCCUCUCUCCAGCGGCUUUGCAUCGUCUCCCGGAGCGGGACUCUGCAGUCUGACGCAGUGAUGUCAUUCAUGGCCAACUGCCUUGAGGUCAUCAUGUGCCACAUGUUUAUGGGAGAAUCUCUCACCGUCUGCAAAAACCUCCAGCAGUCUAUUGUCCGGAGGCCGGCUACCUGUCUGCAGCAAAUGGCUCUGCAAAGUCCCUCUGUAAUGCCACGCCUCGGGAUCUGGAUGACUGAGGGUUAACCGGUGCUGGGAAGUGCAGAGAAUUCUAAUGUUUUAGGACAAUCUGCCUGUUCUGGGGAUCUAAGAUGUGGAGGAAGAGAAAUAUUAACUUAGCCCUCCUACUUCUGCCAGCGUCAGUUUCCAGGCGGACCGCCCCGCGUUAAAUGUCGUCAUUUUCCCUCUGCUUCACGAGGACUUGACGGAGGUCAUCAGAGAUGUCCCCAUGAGGCACUUGGAUGAAAUUACCUUGUUUAAAAGCAGAGUGGCC